CCAGUGUGCCCGUGGCUUAAGGGAGAGCCCUGGGUUUGCUCCCCAUCCUUUUCCACAAGGCUGGGGCACAGUGUGUCCUCCCAGGCACAGCCCCCAGCCUGGCUGGGUAACUCCUAAGUGGUAAAGCUGGCCUAAUUAGUCUGCAUAAUCAUCCCCCAUAAAUCACUCCUCCCCAUUCCCUGCAGACUAUCGGCAGCAUCUGAAGUCCUUAGUUAAUUUAAACCUGGGAGUUCACACGUUGGCUUAUCGCAGGAGCCAUCUCCCUUCCCCGCUAAGCGCUUGCUCGGUACAUCCCCGGCUGCUAGAUCCGAUCUGCGCCCGCUUUGAAGCCGUGAUGGGCUGCCAGCAGGCGAGCAGUUUGCCCGACUGCUGGAAGGAGAAGGCAGCUCCUAUGCUGCUGCAGCUUUCCCGUCUGUCAGGGGAGAUCACAGAAUCAUAGAAUCAUCUGUGUUGGAAAAGAUCACCUGUAAGAUCAUCGAGUCAGGUCUUCAUGUGUUUGUUCAUGAAAUGAAAGACGGCUGGUGAGCCUGCUUUCCACUCCUCUGGUCUGCCUCCUGCAUCGUGGAGAGGGUCUUUUGGCCUUGGGGUGAUGCCUCCCUUCGUGUCUCUCAGGCACCCAAACUCUCAGGCAUGAGUAGAGGACACACCUAUGUGGGGUAGUGUCCUGGUCAGAUGUUAAACCUCUGCCCUGGGUGACAAGGAGGAUGUGGGGGAAGGCACUGGUACAACCCUGUUCAGUCUCCAGGCACUACAGACCAUGCUGGGGUACAGCACGAGGUGGGCAGGGGGCCCUGUCUGGGCGUGCUUGAGUUGUCCCCUGUCCCCAGGCGGCUGCCCCCCUUCUGCUGUGGCCGGAAGACAUGAGCUCCCGAUUAAAGGAUAUUUCAACCAGACGGAGGAGCUGCAGCGGCCGGGGGAACGCACAGCAGGAGGGGACCGGGACAGGACACGUGAGAGACCAGAGGAGAAGCCAAUUUACGCUGGAAUGUAAAUACGGCAGCAGCACGCUGCUCCGCGGGGCGCGUCACCCCUUUCCUGGCUCUGGAAACUGUGUGGGAACCAUCAGCAACAGCUCAGGUCAUGUCUGUGCCGUGGCAGAACCUGAGUCUCACCUGGGCACUGUGCAGAGGUGAGCAGGAGGAGGGUCAGGGGCUGUUGCAUCAGUCCAGUCCCACUGCUGCAGCUCCUGCUUUCUGCGGUGAGGUACCAUGGGUCACAUAUUCACUGGCAGAACGAUGGAGCCUCAGCCCUCCCUAAUAAUCCUAAGAAUCAAUAGCGGUGCCUCUAGCCCCCAUGGAUGUGCACAACAACAGCUCGGAGUUAAGACGGGAACUUCUCAGCAGGAUUAACUCUGAAACCUAGUGACAACAUUUUAAGUAUCUGUGCUAUCUGUGUCCCCGCUGCUCAUUCUAGCAGCUAGUUCCUACUAAUGAGCUUUACUCAACAGCACUAGAUUUGUCUGUAACAGCAAACUCCAGGGAUCAAAAAAAUAAGAUUUAAGAUGCAAAUAUUCUGUGAUAUAUCCAGAUUUAAAUGUUGUGGGUUUGUUUUUUUUUUUUUGUUCCUUAGUCCAGGGGUAAUUUUUAAAGGAAGAGAGAUCCUCCAGAAUGUAAGAUAAAAAAACUUUUUUAAAGGAAAAGACCAAGUAAUAUAAAAUCGCAGUUUUAUUUUUUUUAUCUUAACUGAAUUUGGGAAAGUUUCCUUCUGCUCACCCAGGGCACUUUGAACACAGAUGUCCCAGCCCUGAGGAAACAGUCAGGUUUACCCGCUCCUCUGUGGUUUGUAGAGCAUCACUGGGGAAUUUUUGGGUACACCGGUGUGUCCUGGGACUGGAGGCACGGGCUGAACCCCAGCCAGCCACCUCAAUACCCAGGGCAGAGGGAGCUCAGUGGACAGGUCCAUGGCAGGUGACAAAGAGCCUAAAAUAAGUCCCUAAAAUGUCCAGCCCAGGCUGGCAGUGGAUUCCUCUCCUGCCCCGAGGCUGGACCCCAGUGCAAGGACCUGAGCUCAGACACAGAUGCUGGAAGAAUUCACACCCCCAGACAGGUUGGUUUUCAGUUUUCUUUAAUCUUCCACAUGCCUUUUUUUUUUCCUUUUUCAUUUUGAGGCAGGAGUACUAACUGCUAAAGAUGCAUAUGGAAUUUGAAUAUGAAUGAUAAGAACAGCUGUGUAUAUCUAUUAUGAAUGAACAUAAACAGAAAUGUAUAAACUGAGAUUUUGGGGCUUUUGGAAGAAUUAGUGCCUUUGUUCCUGGAUUUUUUUCGUAUCAAAGUUUGAACCAAAGCCCAUUAGCCUGGACUUUCCCGCAGCCGACCAAGCCAGGAGCUUCAUUUUGCCCUGGCUCUGAGCCAUGCUGAAUUCUCCUCAACAGCUCAGUGAGCCCUAAUCCUAACAAAUUUACCCAGAGAAGUGGGUCUCUUAUUACACAGCCUAAUUUGAAUGCUUUCCAAGGUUAAUUUCGGCUCCCUCUCCGUCUCCAAACACGCCUGCCCCUCCGGAGCCAGCUCCCCCCUUCCCCGUCCCCCCCGCCCGAGCUGCCCGUUAGCGCCAGCCCGGAGGGAGCAGCCCCCUUCACCACCGCGAUGGUUUUUAAACGAGAAAAUAAUGUGAUGUGUGUCCCUGGGUCCGGACUCUGCCUGGAGGGUUUCUUAAUGCCGAGAGACUUCCUCUGCAAAUUAAUUGCAACUUUCGUUGGGCAAAAAUAGCCCUGGAAGCCCCUUCCCCACAGGCCCUUCCACAUGUGAUAUUACUCAGUUCAUAAUCUGAUUCCUGCGACUCUAUUCCUUCCUUCCCCUCCCCAGCGUGCCGGUGACUGCCCGGGAGGGUCCUGGCAGGAUGACCCACUGGCAAAGCAGCCGCGCUGGGGUGGGGGGAGCACCGGUGCCGCCUGGCUGAGCCAGCCCUGGCUCUUGCUUUGCAGCAGACUGUGCAAGAAAACCUCAGCGUGGGGAAACCGAAACCCAGCCCAGUGCAGGGAGCAGCUGUCAGAUCCAUUAGGGAAGGAAUAGGGAAGGAACCAGCCAUGCCUGGUGGACGGCGAUCGCAGGAGAGGGGCGGUGGAGAGGCUGCGGGGUGGUAGGGGCUCACAGUGGGGGUUUAAAAGG